AAUCAAACCAUUAUACCGGCGCUGCUUCUGCUCUUCUUCUUCCCCUCCUUUACCCUGAUUUCUUAUCGCGGUGAAGAUGCAGGGAGGCUAUGUUUGUGUUCUCUGCUAGGGUUUCUAGUAUACCUUACCAUCCUGUUCUAGCUGUGGCCUCUCCUCACUUUGAUGAUACCUUCAUUGUAAUUUCAGUCAUUUUUAUACUUUGUAAUUUCAAUGAGAAGUUUGUCCGUGAUGACCUUACAAAGAUACCAUCAAACUCAGAAACCAAAGAUGUAGAUAUCUUUCAAAGUGUCUGAGCCAUUCGAUUUCCAAAAGGAGCUUCUCCUCUUGUACUUUCGAAGUCACAAAAAUUUAUUUUUUCUAUUAUGCUUAUUGUUUGAUUUCUUUGAUUUGUAAAAGCUUUUAUGCGGCUCUUCCUUUCAAAUGCAUAAAGAGUUUAUUUUCCUUUUUUUUCCAAUUUAUGUUUGAUUAAUCUGACGAAUUAGGCUAUAAAAUUAGAAUUCUGGUCGUGGUCUGUCUCUUUUUUUUUUUUUUUUAUGUUUUUGAUUUUUGUUCUUCUGAUCUGAAGAAGGCAAUAAAUUAGAGUCUCUGAUGCGCUCUUUCUGAUAGCGUUGUCAGUGCUGUACGUUGCCGAGAACAAUUCCAAGCUGUGAUUCUGGCUUCAAUCACUCGUUUAAUUGGGUCGAUGCAUUCUAAUGCUUGGACAUUCCGCUUCAUUUUCCCCUUUCUUCCAUCCUUGUGAAUCUGCAUUUCUUCAAUUCGUAGCCAAAUUUUUUGUGAGCUUUGAUUCUUCAGAAUCUGGCGCUUUGGAUUUUCACAACAGGAUCAUCUACUCUUGAUAAAUAAAUGUCUGUUUUCGGCAAUAAAUUCUCUGAUGCGUUCUUGUCAUUCAUUGCGCAAUCAGCGGGACUCGUUGCCGAUAAUAAUACCGGGCUGUGAUUCUGGCGUCAGACUAUGUAUUCUAUAUAGUGGAUGCAUUCUUAUGCCUGGGACAUUUUAUAUAUCAAUUCCCUUCUAAGUUUGUAUUGAAAAAGAUACCAGAGAAUCAUGUCAGUAUAUCUAAUACGCCCAAGUAUUCCUCAUCAAAAGCUAUACUCAACUAUAGAAUAUUUCGGGUUUUUUAUACACGAUUAUUUAUUCCGUUUUUUCCUUUGUGAAGUUUUUGAUAUUUUUGUCCGUGAUGACCUAGCAAAAAUACCAUCAAACUCAUAAAUCAAAUAUGUCGAUAUCUUUUGAAGUGUGUGAGCCAAUCGAUCUCCUAAAGGCAUCUUUCUGCUAUGCUUGUGCUUUGAUUUCUUCGAUCUGUCGAAGAUUUUAUGGGUUUCUUUUCAAAUGAAUAAAGAAGUUUUUCUUUUUAAAUCAACUAUUCUUAUUAAUCGUAUAUUUUAGCGUUUUGAUUUGAUUUUUUUAGAUCCGAAAAGGAAGGCAAUAAAUUAGAGUCUCUGAUGCGCUUCUUUUUGAUAGCGUUGUCAGCGCUGUACGUUGCCGAGAACGAUCCCGGGCUGUGAUUCUAGCAUCCACCAUUUCUUCAUUAUGAUCGAUGCAUUCUUAUGCCUGGACAUUGUGUCUCAAUCCCCUUUAUUUUUUUUGCCCCUGGGAGUUUCUUAUUUCUUCCAAUCUCGUAUGGAAAGAAGACGAGAAUCAUGGCUUUAUUGGUAAUACAUUGGGGAUAUUAGCGCUCUCUAUUUUGUUUCGUCAACUUCCCUGCUCCAUUGCAAUAGGAAUAUGCUCAGGAGCCUUCUAACAGUGUUGAAUCAAUCCAACCAAGCAAGAGUGCUAGAGCGUAUUUGCAAUCGCGGGGCAUUUGAUUGUUUUGAUCUUAUCCGAUUCUGGCCACUAAUAAGUUGGCCUCUUAAAUAUUAAUAUGAUGGAAUUUUAAUAAGUAAAUUUAAAGAAUCAGAAUCUGGUUCUUCUGGUGAAUCAAAUUUUUAAUGGGGUCUACUGAAAUCAUUUCUUCAUCCAGAUCCCGGAGGAUUAUUAGUUUCCGGGAGAAAGUUCAAUUCUAUUUGGACUACUCAUUUUUAAAUGAUAUCUAUAAAAUUCAUAAAUAUACAUUUUUUUUAUCAAAUAAUUGUUUUUGAUUUAUAAUUAUUUUCACAUUGAAUCCAUAAUCAUCUGAAUUUAUGUAAAGAUAUCAUUAUGAUUGGAUUCAACUUUAAUGCCCAAAUUAUUGAUAUUUUGGUUAAGAAUUGUUUUGAAGUUGUUUUAGUUGUUAAUGCUGAAAAUUAAUUCUUUAAAAUGUAUAUAGUCCUAACGUUGUCUUGAAGGUUACUUGUUGUUUUGCUUGGUGCCAUCAUAUUCUUCUGGCUUUAUUGAUGAACCUCUCAGAAUAUUUUGGUGCCUGUUUAGCAUCAUUUCAAGUGGGUGGUGGGUGCAUAUGAGUAGCAAGUGAUUCAUGGCUGAAUUAUAUGGAGUAUAGUGAUUUAGGUUAGAUCCUUCGACCUUGAGUGGGGAAGAUAUCUAUUAAUCCACUGAGAGCUUUAUUAUGUUAUCUUUUAGGAUAUAUGUCUCUUAGGAAUUGAUCUCUUAUUUUAUUGUAAUAAGUUCGUCACUUUUUAAGUGCAUCCUGUGGGGUGGGGACUGCUUAGCACUAUCUUACACAUUGAGGUUUGGUUGCUCAAUUGCUGGGCCGUGUUUUAGUUUGUUAUCAAUUAGACGUCAAUGAUAUUUUUGGUGCGUUUACUUGGACAACUUGAAAAUGAAAAA